CCGGGUUUGAUAGUCCGGUUUACGCGUAGCAGAACACUUUUGCUUCUGCUUUUAUGACGUUUUCUGACCAUUCAGCAGAGGCUGCUGUGCUUGUUUCCAUCUCUUCCUCUCUCUCUGCAAUUUCGUUUGGUGAAAGAUUGCCCACAGAUCAUUCUCUCUCUCUCUCUGGUUUGGGUUGUGAUUUAAAGGGGGGGUGGAAGCUAAAGAUAAAUUGCCAGGUGGGUUCAUUAGUUUGGUUCAUUCACUAGGGAUCCAAAUGUCUGAGUGUUUCGUCUGCCUUUUUUACCUCUGAAUUAUACAAGAAGAAACAGAUGGUUCUGGAGGAUUGAAUGUUAAAUUUCAUUCUAAAGUUGGAUUUUUUUUUUUAGGAAAAGGAAAAAAGCAGUAGCGAAGCUUCCAUUAAAUCUUGACGUUUUGAUAAUAAUUUGUUUUGAGAAAUAGGCUGUUCUUUGUCUGCAGAGGUUUACGUGUGUGGUAGCACUUUUUUUUUCCCCCGUUUUUGGGAGUAAUUAAGUGAAAUUUGAGUUUAAGCUCUUUUUUCUUGGGCAGCAGAGGAGGGAGAACAUCAUCUCAUGUUUUGCUUUUCUCUGCAGUAGGUAAGAUUUUGUUUUCUUGCUUUUUUGAAUUUAAUUUAUAUUAUUAAUCAUUUUUUUAUGAGUUGAAUGUCUGUUUCUACCUUUUGGGGUACUUUUCUUGAUGAGGUUUUAUGUGAAAAGUUAACAAAACGAAGAAAUUAAAUUAUCUUGUAGCUGAUUAUCAUUGAUUUGGAUGAACUUUGAUGUGAUUUUUCAUUUGAAGAAAAGAACAAAACGAAACAGUGAUGAAAACUUGAGGGGUAAAUGAAAUGGCAUGUCCUCUGCAUAUUGCCUUAACAUAAUUCAUUUUUCUAGGUUUUUUUUUUUUUUUUUUUUUUUUUUUUUUUUUUUUUUUUUUAAAUUUUUUU
rnacentral:lncRNA from 1 species